CCGUUUUUAACAAAUUUUAUAUAAAAAUUCAUGUACCGGAGGUUUAAUUUCUAAUGGUGGUAGUUUCAUAAUCUGGUUUUAACCUUAUAAAAAGUUAUAAGCAGAAUACGACACGCUGGUCGUAGAUUUCAAACCAAAUGUAGGGGUUAUGUGGUGUUUGAGUGUUACGCUUGUUUAGGGACACUUCUAAACCUUUGAGAUGGACAUGCUAGUAUACGUUACGCAUCUUUAAUCUAUUGUUGGUAUUAUAGAUUAUUGUUAGGAGUUAGUUUUGACGUUUAAGCGUUCAAUAAACUGAUAUGGUUAAUUUGUGGUUAGGUGUCAACCUAGUCAAUUGGGAGAGGUCGAAACCGUAAGUUUGGCGUACCUCGGUCGAUACAAAGGUAGCAGGUUGCUUAGAGUGGGUCCACUACAGGUCGUCGUGUUGAGGUGUUUUUGCUAGCGUUAGGUGGGGUUUUGGUUACGUUGUUGUCGAGUGCCUUAUCUGAUACAGAACUUAAUUUGUAAGGAGUUGUAGCUAAGGAUAGUUAAAGUUUUUUUUAAAUUGUAUAGGUUGUAAUUAAGUUUGGUCGAUGGUUGACAUUCUAUUUGAGGUUAGCAUUGGACGUUAUGGAUGGUCGAGUUUGUUGUAGGUGGUUGAUGAUGAAGUUGGUUUAUUCAAGUUGUAAGUAA